CAGUUCUGGAGGCUCAGCAGUCCAGAUGGUUCCAGGUGAGAGCUCUCUUUCUCGUUACAUCCCCAUAUGGAGGGAAAGGGAUGAGGGAGAGAGGGGGAAGGAGAAGGCACUAGCUCUCCUGUGUCUCUUCUCAUGAAGGCACUAAUUUCAUCACAAAGGUUCUAUCCUCAUGACCUAAUUACCUCCCAAGACUGCAAAUACCAUCAUAAUGGGGAUUAGGGUUUCAACAUAUGAGAUGCAAACAUUUGGUUCAUACAAGUUGAGCAACUUUACCAAAACUAUUGGUGGGUAAUUUGAUAAGGUGAGAGAGGGCAAUAAAACAUAGAUUAUAUGAUAACUUCCUAGAGCUCAGGCAAUAUACCUGACAGGUCAUCUCCUGUCUAGAGGAAGUGUUCAAUGGCUCUUGGUCAUGCCAGGUAGCAUAGAAGGGCAGCUGUGAUGGCUGGAUCUGGAGCAACUAUAUGAGAGCAUGAGAAACAGCAGCACUUGGGAGUGGCAAAGCAACAAGUCUUGAGUCUGGAUUUCUGACGAUCAUGAAGACAUAAUAUUUGAUUGGUCCUGACCUAAUUAGAAGAGUUCUUAUAAGGGAUUGGGCUCUUCCUGGAAGAAAGGGAUUGGAAGCAUGAGAGGGAUUUGAUGCAAGGAAGAUUCUCAGUUGCUGGCUUUAAAGAUGGACAGGGCCAUGAGGCAUCCUCCUAGAACUGAAGUCCCCAAGCCCCAGGCUGCAGACUGGGUGCCAGUCUGUGGCCUGUUGGAGCCCUGGGGCUGCGCAGCAGAGGCCCAUGAGGCUUCAUCUGUGUUUGCUGCUGCUCCCCAUCCCUUGCAUCACUGCAUGGGCCCCCCCUCCUGUCAUAUCAGCAGGGGAUUUGGAUUCUCAUAGGAGCAAGACCCCUACUGCGGACUGCACAUGUGAGGGAUAUAGGUUGCUCUGUGUGAGAGUCUGCUGCCUGAUGACCUGGGGUGGAGCUGGCGCGGCGGUGCAGGUGCUGGGAAGCAGCUGCAAGUGCAGAUUGUCAUUGGCAGAGAGGUUUGACUGCCACACAAUGAAUGUGAUGCACUUGGGUCAUCCCGGACCACUCCCCCGCCUUCGGUCCCUGGUGCCAAAAACUCUGGGGACCGCUGCUUUGGAGAGGAGCACUGCCCCUGGUUAAUAGCCAGCAAAGAGAAAAGGAACUCAGUUUUACAAAUAUCAAUGAAUUCUGCCAACACCCAGAAUGAGCUGUGAAGCAGAUUCUUGCAUUAGGCCUCCAGAAGAGAAUGGAACUCACCUGAUACCUUGAGUGUGAGACCCAGCAGAGAACACAACUGAGCAGCAUCCAGCCAUCUGAUCUGCACAAGUACGAGAGUAUUACGGGGGUACAAAAGCUUUGGUCACAUAAAUUACCUUCGCACUGCUUGACAAACUUACCCAUCCUCAAGACAGCACGCUAGCUGUGAGCAUUGUUAGGAGAAUAGGGUCAGUGCCAAUUAAAGAUGGGUGAUACAUGUUAUAAUGUAAAUGCCUUGCAGAAAAAUAAAGUAAGUAAAUAGUAUCAGGAGAAAGUUUUUGAAGUUCAUGGAAGAGAGGUAAGAGGUCUUACAUCAGAGCCAUUGCUUUUCUUCCCUUCACAGUGGAUAAACACUUAAAGUGGUAGAAAACAAAACAAUAAAGAGAACAGGGCUUGUGUUUUCCUUCUCUUUUGGAAUAUGUGGGAGGAGCCAACCACACAUGUUCCAGAACCCAUGUGGAACCAUCAAGGUAGAAUAGAAAUAAUUGCAUCUUAAGGGUGGUUCACUAUCCUUAGUGUAAAAUGAGGCAAAAGAGGUAAUUGCCUAACAGGGUGUAUUGAGAAUUGUGGUCUUUACUUGGGGUAAAGAGAGGUCAUUAAAAUGUUUUAAUACAUAAGGUGAAUAGCAGAUUUAAAUUUUAUAAUUAUUACCCUGGCUACAGCAUGGAAUUUAGAAUGGAAAAUUCAGUAGAGAAUUUGGAGAUUAGUUGUGAAGUUAAUGAAGAAGCCAGUGUAGAAAUGCAGCUUUGACUAGAGUAGUGAGUACUAAAGAUGAUGACUACAUAUAUUUGUAUAUUUAGAAAGAAAAAUCAGCAAGCAAUGAGAGUAGAUUAUAGAAUAAUAAAGAGGGAGACAGGUAUCAAGAAUAAUUCAUAGGUUUACAUAAAAGGAUAGAUAUGGUGCCAAAUGUAUAG